GGCAAAGGGGCAGAGGCACCUAACAGCUGACACGGCCAGAUCCAGAUGUUGGUCUGGAUUAUUUUUGUAGACUGUGUGAUGUUUAUGGUAUUUGGCAGCUUUGUAAGUAUUGUGAUUUCUUGUUUAUCCUUAUGCCAGGUAAAUAUUCUCCUUCAUACCUAGUUAUGCAUUAUUUUCCUUAAAGAGGGCACCCAAAUUACAGAAGCUUGAGCCAACAGGACACCUCAGUGUGUUCAGACCAGCUGUGUUUGGAGACUCACCAACGGCCACACGGACGGCUCCGGGCUCCGCACAUCAGUCCUCGCUUCUCCUCUCACACCCUCACCUCCGUGCUGGAAACAAGAGGCGCUGACCCCGCCCCGUCAGUGGUCAGGAGACACAGCUGGCACUACAAUGAACACGGUUUCAGAGGUGAAGUCCCUGCGAGAAAGGGAGCCUGAAGAGCGAGCUGCCGUCCCUGACAAGGGUCUGAGGGAAGGCCCAUCCUGCUGCGGC
rnacentral:lncRNA from 1 species